CGGCUUACUGGGUGCCACCGGCCGCGGUAAUACGUACGGUGCAAGCGUUGUCCGGAAUUACUGGGCGUAAAGAGUUCGUAGGCGGUUUGUCGCGUCGUUUGUGAAAACCAGCAGCUCAACUGCUGGCUUGCAGGCGAUACGGGCAGACUUGAGUACUGCAGGGGAGACUGGAAUUCCUGGUGUAGCGGUGAAAUGCGCAGAUAUCAGGAGGAACACCGGUGGCGAAGGCGGGUCUCUGGGCAGUAACUGACGCUGAGGAACGAAAGCGUGGGUAGCGAACAGGAUUAGAUACCCUGGUAGUCCACGCCGUAAACGGUGGGCGCUAGGUGUGGGUUCCUUCCACGGAAUCCGUGCCGUAGCUAACGCAUUAAGCGCCCCGCCUGGGGAGUACGGCCGCAAGGCUAAAACUCAAAGGAAUUGACGGAUCCUACGGCAGGCAGCUUA
rnacentral:rRNA from 1 species